rnacentral:rRNA from 1 species
GAAACGACUGCUAAGACUGGAUAGGAGACAAGAAGGCAUCUUCUUGUUUUUAAAAGACCUAGCAAUAGGUAUGCUUAGGGAGGAGCUUGCGUCACAUUAGUUAGUUGGUGGGGUAAAGGCCUACCAAGACUAUGAUGUGUAGCCGGGCUGAGAGGUUGAACGGCCACAUUGGGACUGAGACACGGCCCAAACUCCUACGGGAGGCAGCAGUAGGGAAUUUUCGGCAAUGGAGGAAACUCUGACCGAGCAACGCCGCGUGAACGAUGAAGUAUUUCGGUACGUAAAGUUCUUUUAUUAGGGAAGAAUAAAUGAUGGAAAAAUCAUUCUGACUGUACCUAAUGAAUAAGCCCCGGCUAACUAUGUGCCAGCAGCCGCGGUAAUACAUAGGGGGCAAGCGUUAUCCGGAAUUAUUGGGCGUAAAGGGUGCGUAGGCGGUUAAAUAAGUUUAUGGUCUAAGUGCAAUGCUCAACAUUGUGAUGCUAUAAAAACUGUUUAGCUAGAGUAAGAUAGAGGCAAGUGGAAUUCCAUGUGUAGUGGUAAAAUGCGUAAAUAUAUGGAGGAACACCAGUAGCGAAGGCGGCUUGCUGGGUCUUUACUGACGCUGAGGCACGAAAGCGUGGGGAGCAAACAGGAUUAGAUACCCUGGUAGUCCACGCCGUAAACGAUGAGUACUAAACGUUGGGUAAAACCAGUGUUGAAGUUAACACAUUAAGUACUCCGCCUGAGUAGUACGUACGCAAGUAUGAAACUUAAAGGAAUUGACGGGACUCCGCACAAGCGGUGGAUCAUGUUGUUUAAUUCGAAGGUACCCGAAAAACCUCACCAGGUCUUGACAUGCUUCUGCAAAGCUGUAGAAACACAGUGGAGGUUAUCAGUUGCACAGGUGGUGCAUGGUUGUCGUCAGCUCGUGUCGUGAGAUGUUGGGUUAAGUCCCGCAACGAGCGCAACCCUUAUUGUUAGUUACCAGCACGUAAUGGUGGGGACUUUAGCAAGACUGCCAGUGAUAAAUUGGAGGAAGGUGGGGACGACGUCAAAUCAUCAUGCCCCUUAUGACCUGGGCUACAAACGUGAUACAAUGGCUGUUACAAAGGGUAGCUGAAGCGCAAGUUUUUGGCGAAUCUCAAAAAAACAGUCUCAGUUCGGAUUGAAGUCUGCAACUCGACUUCAUGAAGUUGGAAUCGCUAGUAAUCGCGAAUCAGCAUGUCGCGGUGAAUACGUUCUCGGGGUUUGUACACACCGCCCGUCA